AGAGUUUGAUCCUGGCUCAGGAUGAACGCUGGCGGCGUGCCUAACACAUGCAAGUCGAACGAAGCACCUUACCUGAUUCUUCGGAUGAAGGUCUGGUGACUGAGUGGCGGACGGGUGAGUAACGCGUGGGUAACCUGCCCUGUACAGGGGGAUAACAGCUGGAAACGGCUGCUAAUACCGCAUAAGCGCACGAGGAGACAUCUCCUUGUGUGAAAAACUCCGGUGGUACAGGAUGGGCCCGCGUCUGAUUAGCUGGUUGGCAGGGUAACGGCCUACCAAGGCAACGAUCAGUAGCCGGCCUGAGAGGGCGAACGGCCACAUUGGGACUGAGACACGGCCCAAACUCCUACGGGAGGCAGCAGUGGGGAAUAUUGCACAAUGGGGGAAACCCUGAUGCAGCGACGCCGCGUGAGUGAAGAAGUAUUUCGGUAUGUAAAGCUCUAUCAGCAGGGAAGAAAACAAUGACGGUACCUGACUAAGAAGCCCCGGCUAACUACGUGCCAGCAGCCGCGGUAAUACGUAGGGGGCAAGCGUUAUCCGGAUUUACUGGGUGUAAAGGGAGCGUAGACGGUAGACCAAGCCUGAAGUGAAAGCCCGGGGCUCAACCCCGGAACUGCUUUGGAAACUGGUAAACUAGAGUGCAGGAGAGGUAAGUGGAAUUCCUAGUGUAGCGGUGAAAUGCGUAGAUAUUAGGAGGAACACCAGUGGCGAAGGCGGCUUACUGGACUGUAACUGACGUUGAGGCUCGAAAGCGUGGGGAGCAAUACAGAAUUAGAUACCCUGGUAGUCCACGCCGUAAACGAUGAUUACUAGGGGGUCGGGGAGUUAAACUCUUCGGGUGCCGCAGCAAACGCAAUAAGUAAUCCACUUGGGGAGUACGUUCGCAGGAAUGAAAUUCAAAGGAAUGGACGGGGACCCGCCCAAGCGGUGGAGCAUGUGGUUUAAUUCGAAGCAACGCGAAGACCCUUACCAAAUCUUGACAUCCCGGUGACAAACUGUGUAAAGCAGUCUUUCUUCGGAACACCGGUGACAGGUGGUGCAUGGUUGUCGUCAGCUCGUGUCGUGAGAUGUUGGGUUAAGUCCCGCAACGAGCGCAACCCCUAUCCUUAGUAGCCAGCAGUAAGAUGGGCACUCUAGGGAGACUGCCGGGGAUAACCCGGAGGAAGGUGGGGAUGACGUCAAAUCAUCAUGCCCCUUAUGAUUUGGGCUACACACGUGCUACAAUGGCGUAAACAAAGGGAAGCGAGCCUGCGAGGGGGAGCAAAUCCCAAAAAUAACGUCUCAGUUCGGAUUGUAGUCUGCAACUCGACUACAUGAAGCUGGAAUCGCUAGUAAUCGCAGAUCAGAAUGCUGCGGUGAAUACGUUCCCGGGUCUUGCACACACCGCCCGUCA
rnacentral:rRNA from 1 species